CAACCUGCCGUCUACUCUUGGACAGCCUUCUGAAAGGAAGAUUAAUACAAGAUGGCAUCAUGAGUCCGCAUGUUCACAUGAUUAAAGGUAUUCCGGUAGACGAUGGGGAUGCGUUCCAUUAGAUAGUAGGCGGGGUAACGGCCCACCUAGUCUUCGAUGGAUAGGGGUUCUGAGAGGAAGGUCCCCCACAUUGGAACUGAGACACGGUCCAAACUCCUACGGGAGGCAGCAGUGAGGAAUAUUGGUCAAUGGGCGAGAGCCUGAACCAGCCAAGUAGCGUGAAGGAAGACUGCCCUAUGGGUUGUAAACUUCUUUUAUAAAGGAAUAAAGUCGGGUAUGCAUACCCGUUUGCAUGUACUUUAUGAAUAAGGAUCGGCUAACUCCGUGCCAGCAGCCGCGGUAAUACGGAGGAUCCGAGCGUUAUCCGGAUUUAUUGGGUUUAAAGGGAGCGUAGAUGGAUGUUUAAGUCAGUUGUGAAAGUUUGCGGCUCAACCGUAAAAUUGCAGUUGAUACUGGAUAUCUUGAGUGCAGUUGAGGCAGGCGGAAUUCGUGGUGUAGCGGUGAAAUGCUUAGAUAUCACGAAGAACUCCGAUUG
rnacentral:rRNA from 1 species